GGGGUUGUAGUUUAAUAGGUAAAACGGUAGUUUUGCAUUUUACAAAUUUGAGUUCGAUUCUCAACAUCUCCA
rnacentral:tRNA from 1 species